UUCAUCACAGCAUUUCAUUAAUAUAAAAUUAAUUAAUGGGCACCACUAGGACGGAUUGAUCUCUGUCCCACAGUGUCUGGAGUCUCCGGUAGGAAGACCCUAGUUACCUCAGUUACCAUGACAACUUAGUCUCAUGGAAGUAUCCCAAGAGAAGCAGCCUAACAGUGGCCUGCUAGAGAGCAGGGGACUCCGGUAGCCUGAGAUUCUCUACCUUCAGAAGCUGUGGGCCAACAUUUCUGCUAUUCUUGUAUCAGAGCUUCAAGACACCCAGCCACAUUUGAAGAGAAGGGACUCAGACCUAACUCCUCUACUGAAGUGACAGAAAAGAAGCAAUGGCCAUAUUCUUCCAGUUAUGGUUACUUCAUCUCAAGGGCUACUGUAAGGAUAACAUACUCCUGUUAAGAUGUUGUGGUCUGCCCACCCUGCCAGAAAGAGUAAAAUGAUGGGGCUCAGAAGAGAUGUGGCUGAGAAUUUCCAGUCUCUGGUCAUUCUGUUCCAUUACAGCAGUGACUCUGGACUAGGGGCUCAAGAGAUAUGUUGCAAUACCUAUAUACAACUUUGGUUGUCACAGCUGAGGUUGAGAAUGGAAACACUGCAAAUGCCUAGUGGUCAGGCUCUGCUCAGCAUCUUUGGUGCACAAGACAGACCCUGUGAUGGCUCAGUGGGGAAGGGCACUUGCUGCCAAGUCUGAUGACCCCAUAUGGCCUCAGUUUGAUCUCUGGGACCUCCAUGAUAGAGUAAAGAACAACUCCCACAGAAAGCCCUCAGCACUUUACAUGUGUGCUCUGGAACAUAGAUGUGCUUUACACACACAUACACACAUAAUAAAAAGAGUAAGAGCAACA